UGCCUCUCUCUUUUCCCACUCUCACCCGACUCCCUCUCACUUCCUCCCGCCCCUGACGACACCACCCUGCCUCUUCUCCUCCGGUGGCCGUCGACCACCCUCCCCGCCCCUUGAUUGAACCCUAGUCGUCGCUCCCCGCCAGCCAUCCUCCCUGCCCGCCGCCGGCACCACCAUCCUCCCCGUCCGUCGCCGUCUCCUGUGGGUAAACCGAGAAAAGCGAUCAAUCGGGCCAGAACCCAGUCGCCAUCCCCGUCGCCCCCCUCCGCCGAGCUCUCUUCCUCGUCUUCCCCGUCUACGACCUCCUGCUACUCUCUUCGACCACCGCCAGCGCCCCACCUCCUCUCCCAGAUCAAGGUCAGGCCACCGCAUCCCUCCCUCACUUCCUCCCUCCCUUCCUCGCGUCCGAAUCCCUAGCCAGCGGGAGGCCAUGGCGACCGAGCGGCACAGGCAGCGCAGUGCAGAUAACCCCGCCGCCCCUGCCGCCACCGACCUCCUCCCCAGCACGCGCACACGGACUCCCCCUCCUCCCGCCGCGGCCUCCUCCUUCCACCCUAACCCCAACCCCAAAUCUAGCCGAUCUGACUCCUCCCCUCACCUCCUUCCUCCUUCCACCACUCCAACCUCCACAGAGCCGCGGCCAUGGCGACCGAGCUGCCUUCCCUCACUCCCUCCUCGCACGGGAAACCCUACCCCGCGGGCAACCAUGGCGACCGAGCAGCAGCAGGCAACCAACCUCCAUGACAAGACCUCGACAAGGCUGUUUGGGGGACAAGGAGAAGCUGCUUGGUCGAUCUGGUGAGGAUGGACGCCCACCAUCUCUUCUGCUGCCAAGAUUUGGAAAUCCCCCAGGUCAAUGGGUAGCGGCCAUGGAUCCAGCAAGAAAAGUAGGGACUUCUCUUGUGGUUGGCGUGUGGGAAUUGCUUUGGCAAGAGCUAUGUUCAUGAACCCAACCAUCGUUUUGCUCAAUGAGCCUACCAAUCAUAUCGAUUUGGAAAUCCCCGCCAACCGAGCUAUCGUCUGUUCGUCCCUCCCUCCUCGCGCCCGGAACCCUAGCUCACGGCCAUGGCGACCGUACGCGUCGCAGGUAGGGCAGGAUCUUCAGCACUCCAACACGUUGACAAGGAAGGCGGAUGCGGCGACGGAUAAGGUGUACUAGCAGCUCACGCUGGUGGAGGAGGCCGAGAUGUUCAGGCAAAGCUUCCGUGAGCGUGGAUCCGACGAGGUAGAAGACGAGAUGGAGGGUGGGGAUGCAGAAAGGAAGCCCCGCAUGCCACACAUGUUCUGUAAAAUACUCACCACCGCCGUUUCCUUAGCACACCAUUGGCCAUCCCUUCAUCUGUCACGUUGUAACACUGGGAUAUAGCAUGGUAACAUAUGGAUUAUGUUAUUUGUCAUGUCCAUAUUUCUUCUUGGUAUUACUUAUUUUUUGUUUGUUUGGGAAUUUCUUGGCUCUAGAUGUGAGAGCAAACAAAAUCAUGUGUUAUUAUGUUCUUACAGUUUAGUGUUGUGUUACUUUUUAGCCUAUGGAGGCAUCCUGGGCUAUGCAACAAAGUUGACGAGGUUAUGAACUUGUUGCCGGUUAUGUUUACACGAAUUUAUUGUUAAGAAAAAACUAUAUUGAUUAAAAUUGACGAGGUUGUGUGAGAUGUGAGAGAUUUCCUUUAUUUUCACCUUUUUUUACUUUGAUAGAUGUUCACUUACUUACAAAUGGGUCCACUUUGUAACCUUCUCAUUUUUAUGAUCUCAGGCAAACAAUGUUCAAGAAAGCGGAAAGCGUAAGCGAAGCGGAAGGCCACAGCUUAGAGCAAUGAGCGCUUAAGCGCAGCUUCGCACUUAAGCGUUUUUUGAAAUUGGCUAGAAUUUGACAGAUUUUGAAUGAUAUACGCAUGAAAAUAGGAAGCAUGGCACAUGGGUAAUUGAAGUAGCAUCUGAAAUACAGUUCACACAAUAGCAAAUACAUAUCAGGUUAGCAUAGCAAGCAAAAUAACAACUAAAAUGCAGUUCAGUUCAAAUAGACAUAACCUAACAGAUAUCAUGUGGACAGAAUUUUGCCAAAAUAUGAAGGAAAUAGUUCUUGAACAUAGCCUAGUAAUAAGAUAAAUAGCAUAUUGCCAUUAUUGCGCAAGCAUACCAGCAGAAGAAGUACAAAAAUUGCCAAAUUUUGGUCAAAUUUAAAUAAAAAACGCUUAAUCUACCGCUUAGGGCAAAAGCGAAGCGCUUUGCCAUCGCUCAGCGCUUAAUCGCGCUUAAGCGUCGCUUAAAAACGCUUUCUUGAACACUGCAGGCAAACUGCUGGUGCUAAAGAAAAGAAUGUGCCUACAUUUCAGCCAGCUAGCAUGGCAAGCGACCCUUUUGUUUCUUUUGAAACAACUUCUACUUCGUCUUGUCAAUACCAUGAUGAUUUUGGUUUCUCAAUCCUGGUACGAAAAAUGCAUAACUUCUCUUCUUUCCAAUCCCUUGUAUAUAAUGAUGCCCUGUGUUUUCCUCUUCCCAUUCUGAUAUAAUAGUCCUCUUUUUUAUUUGGCUAUGUGCACUCUGUAUAUGCAUAGUAUUUGGUUUUUAGUUUACACUGCUCUGGGCACUUCUGGUUACCCAACAGGGUGCUUUUUACCACUGAAAAUUGAACUUUUAGUCUCUGUUACCCUAUAACAUCAAGAAGAAAACUAGCCAUGUGAGUUCAAUGUGCAUCCCUGUUUGUGUUUGUAGUUUUGUUUCCAUGUUGUUUUAAAGCAACAAGACAGUAGCUAAUGUUUAUCUGAAUUCUGAAGGUUAUGAAUCUAUUAGAUUUUGGUGGGCACUGUGCUUCUUGCAAAAUCGCCAUAGGUUAUUUUUGUGUGUUGAUUGUAGGCCUACAAGUUGCAUCAGAGCUUUGGAUUCUCUUCUGAGAUUCUAUCACUUAUUAUGGGAUGAUUUAGGUGGCACUUAUACACGAACAUCUAUCUAAUAGAUUCGAAUGAUGAAUAUUUUCAGAUGCCGACAGGCAUGGUAAAAUAUGUUUAGGUAGGUCAGUGCCGAGCAUGCUUAUUUUUAAACAUGAAAGGGUCUUUAUAUUAGCGGGGUUCUCUAAACGUGUUUUGAAUUUCACUAAUUUCUUUCAGUUAUGCAAUGUCCUGCAUUUUAGAAAGCUCAAGCUUGAAUUGCUCUAUUUCCGGAUUUAAACCUUCUUUAGUUGUGCAAUCACAAUUAUCUUACACACAGAGAAAGAAACUUGGAUAUUCUUAAUCACACAAAAGGUGUUUUCUUACAUGUAGGUGCCUCCUUUAAUCUGUGCAUGAGCCAGGUUACAGGUAGUUAAGUUAUUUAGUUAAUACAAAUCUUAAAUUUAGGUUGUUCGUGUUCUUUUGAUUUUGUUUGAUUAUGAUAAGAAAAAGAAGAAAUACUUCUAUGAUGGCAAUAUGGUCCAGAGUAGUGAUUUUAUUUUCACAGCUGAAACUCUACCUCUCUGAUCUAUCUCAUAUCGUUGAAAUUGUGUUUUCUUCGUUUUGUUUAUCCCAGGUUGACUAUGAUGUGCUCAUCAUUGACUCCACCACCGCAGGUUUUGAGGAUGGUACGACCAGACCUGUGAACACGCCGUCCUUGCAUUCGAGGAGCUCUGUCUUGCUUGUAAUAGCUAAACUAUUGUUACCUAUUUAAUGAGAUCCAUCGUCAAUCUGCUGUAUUGACUAAAUGUAUCCUGCUUGCUUUGCUUUGAAAACAUGGUCUCUACUGAACUCUGGUCAUCCUUGGCUACCCAGAUUGGAUGUCUACAAGGAGAAUCCAGCCUAUAUGUGAAUCUAUGAACUAUUAUAUCGAUGAUGUGGAGUUAUGUCUA